GACGAACGCUGGCGGCGUGCUUAACACAUGCAAGUCGAACGGAAAGGCCCUGCUUUUGUGGGGUGCUCGAGUGGCGAACGGGUGAGUAACACGUGAGUAACCUGCCCUUGACUUUGGGAUAACUUCAGGAAACUGGGGCUAAUACCGGAUAUGAGCUCCUGCUGCAUGGUGGGGGUUGGAAAGUUUCGGCGGUUGGGGAUGGACUCGCGGCUUAUCAGCUUGUUGGUGGGGUAGUGACUUACCAAGGCUUUGACGGGUAGCCGGCCUGAGAGGGUGAACGGCCACAUUGGGACUGAGAUACGGCGCAGACUCCUACGGGAGGCAGCAGUGGGGAAUAUUGCACAAUGGGCGGAAGCCUGAUGCAGCAACGCCGCGUGCGGGAUGACGGCCUUCGGGUUGUAAACCGAUUUCGCCUGUGACGAAGCGUGAGUGACGGUAAUGGGUAAAGAAGCACCGGCUAACUACGUG
rnacentral:rRNA from 1 species